CAUGUUUUACUCUCGGUGUUGAAAUUUGUGCGCGUGAAAGUGGUUCUGUGCUCGCGCAGUGAAUAUCUGCUCGCGCUGAUUAUUGGCAUUAAAUUGACGACAUACUGGAGGCCGUCGCACACAACACCGCGUCUUUUGAGACUCUGUUUGUGCUGUGAGGUUUGGCGACGUUGGCACGAUGGCUGAGACUCCUCUGUGUUCUGCGCUGCUUAUUUUUGGGGUUUUCACCUGGGCCCAUGGGGACACAAAGGUCAGGUUUGUGAAGACGAGACCUGGAGAGGGAGUUACCCUCACCUGUUCCACGACACUGAAGGGCCAAGAAGCCCUUACUCUGUACAAGA